UACGGGGGGAGCAAGCGUUGUUCGGAUUUACUGGGCGUAAAGGGCGCGUAGGCGGCGCGACAAGUCACUUGUGAAAUCUCCGGGCUUAACCCGGAGCGGCCAAGUGAUACUGUAGUGCUAGAGUGCGGAAGGGGCUACUGGAAUUCUCGGUGUAGCGGUGAAAUGCGUAGAUAUCGAGAGGAACACCUGCGACGAAGGCGGGUAGCUGGGCCGACACUGACGCUGAGGCGCGAAAGCCAGGGGAGCGAACGGG
rnacentral:rRNA from 1 species